rnacentral:misc_RNA from 1 species
UACAAAGAUUAAAGGGUCAAUCAAGUCCCAAUAAAUUGACAUUCUGAACAUGCUUAACUGAGUUUGUAAGAACAUAGAAGCUCUAAUCCAAAACAUUAUUCCACAAGAACUCCCUAGAGAGACUUGCAAAAAGCCGAUUUGAAACGAGACAUUCUACAAAAGGUGCACAGGUGGAUGAAUGAACUUAAGAAAUACGUGCACAUGCCUUGUUAAAAGCCAGCAACAGUACCUCCCAAAAGCUUUCAAUAAUGAUCCUUCCGCAGGUUCACCUACGGAAA